CUCUGACAUGGAAAUAGUGAAUUGUACCAAAGAGGGAGAUCUCUAUCCAACUUGGUAACCAUGAAUUGUACCACAGAGGGAGAUCUGCUAUGCAAGAUGGAAACCAUGAAUUGUACCACAGAGGAAGAUCUUCUAUCCAACAUGGAAACAAUGAGUUGUAUACACAGAGGGAGAUCUUCUAUCCAAUCUGGAUGUUCAUUAUGGAAUAGCAUACAUUGUAUCUAGAACUAGUUAAGGUUUUGUGGUGUUAUUAUUGUUGUUGUUUUAGAGGUGAGGUCUUGCUAUGUUGCCCAGGCUGGUCUUGAACUCCUAGCCUCAAGUAAUCCUCCUGUCUUUGCUUCCCAAAGUGUUGGGAUUACACAUGUGAGCUGCUCUUAUUCUUUCUAAAGCUCUAGUUUGAGAACUAAAAAUCACUUUCAAGGGUAGACUGAAUUUUAUGUUUUCUCUGAAAAAUGAAUUGGCACAAAUUUCCAGUUAAAUUUGUGCAAUUUAAAAAAAAGUUAAUUUUAAAGUGGUAAUAAUCAUAUACUAGGAAUAUAAUCCCAAAUUACAUAACUGUUUCCUGAGCGUCUUCCCAUGUUGACUGGGAAAAUUUUGUAAAAGCAUUCUAAACAGCAACAGAUCCUCUUGUUAAGAAGGCUGCCAGUGCAAACACUCCUUAUGAAGGACUCACAUGCUCUGACUGUUCCAUCACCUCCAUAGCCAGGAGCCUUCUCUGGCUGCCACCGAACUAAGGAGGGGGCUCCGCCGCAGCCCAACCAUUGGCAUUGCUCAUGGCUCUGUCUUAAAAAUAUUUAUGAGCAAACAUAUCUACAUAUCGACGAUGCUAUCAAUGGUACACAUAUCUCUCUAGCAGGACUUUGCCACCUGUCACGAUGUGGUCACUGCUCUGAACAUCUGGAACAGGCUUAGUUCUCUUUCUAGCAGACAUGCAGUUUUGUUUUAAGAAAUUGUUUGUACUUCGAAAGUCUAUUUUCCAGGGAUGGUUAUGCUCAGCAUUGGUCAGUAACUAUGUUGAUAAAAGCAAGCCCUUUACUUUUGUGUAAUAUUUUUGUCCAACCAUAUAAAAAGACACAUCAGUUUGUGACAUCCUAAUUAGGAGCAAAAGCCAUUUUUGUUUGCAUUGUUCAUCUCUGCUCCCAUCUCACAGAGCUUUAGCAAAGCAUCCUGGUUUCCUUGCUCCACCUUAGAGUGCUUUGUUAAUAGUACCCAUUUCAGUGGGUUAGGGUGUUUCCUUAUUUUGCUUUCUGGAAGGUAUCUGCUUUGACCUACAUUAAUCUCAGAGCUUGGAGGUAAAAUCAUUCUCUGUGUAGUCUUUGUGAUUCGCUGGGAUCCUCACUUCACAAAAUGAGAUCAUGGAGAGGAGGGAACCCCCGGCAGGUGGCUUAGACUCUCUAUGCAUGCAACCCUGACAGAAACCCUUUUGUUAGCCACUCAGUAGACUCAACCGAACGUUUUCCAGACUGAGAAAACAUUUGUGAGCAGACCUAUCUACAUAUUGACAGCGCUGUCCUUUUCUUUCUGACUCUGACUCACGUGCAGAGCUCAUGGGAGUAGUCUGGGUUACUUAAGGUUAACCUUUACAUUCUCAUAACCUCCCACGUACUUUUUCAGAAUGCCACCCUGAGGAGUUUUGUUAUUAUUAAAAACUAGGGUCAUUGUCUGACCAGUUGGAGAGCAAACAGAUUGUCCCAGUUUUUCUGAAAAAAGGAAAUGAGUCACUUUACAUAUGAAUAUCUCAACUACCAAAGUAUUAAACAGCCCUUUGGUAAUUGUUUUGCUUCUUAAUUUUAAGAUAUGCAACCUCAGCCAAGUAGCACCAGCAAGAGCCGUCUGCUGCGCACCUCAGCUGUGCUUGGACCGCUUUGGCUAUGAGGGAAGGUCUGGCUUUGAUGGGGUGACCCUGCCCACCCAUUAGACUCUGUGUGCAGCUGAGGGGUUGGGGUGGCCACAGGAGUCCUGCUGUCUUGCAGCACUCUGAUGGCAAUCAAGACCAAACUUCCUCAGUGAUACUGGGAAGCUGUAUUUUUUCUUUAUCUCAGCCAAUGGCGAUUCCAUGCUUUCCAUUGCACAGCCCAAAAAUCUUGAGGUUAUCUUUGACUCCUUUCUUUCUGUCACAUGCAAUAUCUGAUCUAUUCAGAAAAUCCUAUGGCCCCAAUAAUCUUCGGGAUAUAUCUAGAGUCCUCUCAUGUCUCACUACUUCCACGGCUACCUAGCCUGAUCUGUUCCACCGACCACACGAGCCCGGCGUGCUCCUCUCAACCGGCCGACAGUUCUACCCUGCAGUCUGAUCCCAGCAGUGGCAGCAGCGAUCCACUCAUGACAUUAGUUGGAUUUCACUCCUCAGCUCAGAGCUCGGCAGUGCUGCCUGUCUCUCUCAAAGGGAAGGCCAAAGUCUCUUUCAAGGGCCUACAAGGCCCUGCGUGGUGUAGCCCUGCCUCUCUGCACCACGUCCUGCAAUUCUUCCCUGGGCUCACUGUGAUGGCAGAGGGUUUCCAUGCUCAUCCUGGAACGCACCAAGCCCUCUGUCGUCUCAGGCCAUCGCAUAGGAUCUUCCCUUUGCCUGGAACCGCCCCUUUGCGGGUAUCACUGCCUCACUCCUUUCAAUCUGUGCCCAAAUGCUCCCCUUCUGCACGAGCUUAGCUGGCCUGGCCUGUGUAAACCUCAGCCUGUAUCCCUGGCGCUCCUGGUCUCCCUUCUCCUGUUCUUUUAUCCAUAGCAUGUAUCAUCUUCUAACACAGCAAGUGAUCCUAAAAUUUAUGACAUUAUUGUUUAUUAUCUGGCCUUACUCUCAGUCUCUAGAACGUGAGUUCCACAAGGGCAGGGAUCAUUGUCAUUUUUGUUCCCUGAUGUCCUUGCCCAUGUGUGUGAUAAAUAUUUCCUGAAUAAAUAAACCACCACCAUCACCAACGGUUGUUUUCUCGGUUCCCUUCAAACGGGCCAUCUAGGAUGCACAUUCCUCCUAAGUAAAGUCUGUUUCUAUGCAGUCUGCUGGCAGCUGAAACCUAGUGACUCUGGCUUUGCACUCCCAUUUGUGGGAGAUGAUCCACAACACAGCCGGGGGUAUGGCUGGCGCUGGGGAAAUUCGUAAUCCCACGCCACUUGGAUACACAGACAUGAGGGUCGGCAGGUGGCUCAUUCAGCCCUUCCGUCCCUCAGCAAGCUCCCUCUGUUUCUGGGGCCUGGGUGCAUAUCAGGAGUCAAGGCCUUUGGAGCCAUGACAAAAUGAGUCUUUACAGUAUUUUCACAUUUUUGUGAGCACUUAAGAUUCUUUCCUCCAAACAAAUUUUGGAGGAGAUCACACAGAGAUCAGAGAGGGUGGUUUUUGUGUCGUAAGAAUGAAUGUAUUUAACUACUGUUUAUUGAGUAUCCGCUGUGGUCCAGGCACAAGUAAUGGAGAUAUGGUGGUAGAAGAUAAAAUCGCUAACCCAUGGAAUAUAGUCUAGUGUGUUAUUCAGAGUAAAGCAAGUAAAUGAACUAACAAAUAAUAGCAUUUCAGGAAAAAAUAGAAAGAUCCAGGUAGAAAGAUACCAAGGGGGUAUGGGCAACAGAAAGAAGCAGUGAAAAUAUCACAAUUUUCUCAUCAGUUUCAAAAUAGUUAAGUAUGGCUCAUUGCUGACUUUAAUAUUUGUCCUGAAAUGUCUAGUAAGCAGGUAGGGGUGUGUUUGUGCAUGUGCAUGUGUGUGUGUGUGUGUGUGUGUGUGUGUGUGUGUGUAAGCCCACGUUUGGAAGAUAAGCAUCUUGAUUGUCACUCAAAGUAUUUAUGUCACAGGAUAAGAUCAAUGGUCUCAUUCUUAAAGAUAACUGGGUCCUUUUCGCUACGUCAUAUUUCUUUCUCCAGAUUAACAAAGUGCUACACAUGUAGAAGAUGAUCACUUCAAAUUUUUGAAAGAAGGAAUAAGGGCAAGAACUCCUGAGUGAAGGUAGAUAAAGUAUAGUUUUGUAAAGUGGAUAAUACACUAAAUGAAUGUCUUUGAUCAUACUUCGUAGUUUUGAUCAGGGUUCUGUAAAGGACCAGCAGAAAGUUUUUAGUAAUUAUGGGCCAACAGUUUCCACUGUAAAUAGUCAGCUCUCCAUUUUAGAGCAAAAGCAACCACAGAAAUAUGUAUCCAAAAAAAAUUGGAACCAGAUAGUGGCUGCAUUUAAUAUAACUUUCUUAAUAAAACAGCCAGUAAGGAAGCAGUAGUUUGCUGACUAUUCUAGAGUACUGUAGGGAUUUAGGGUGACUAGAAUGUGUCUAACGAUAUGAAAUGGCAUAAGCCAUACCCUUAAAAAAUCAGAGACUCUAAGGAACAUGAAGGGGGGGCACCAGUGAGGUAUUCUCAUUAACAGAAUGCACCUGAAAAUGACCAUGAAGGGCACGCUCUGCUCUGUCUGAUUUCUAGUGGAGCUUUAUGUUUGCUUUUAUGUACACAAUAAAGUUCAGAGAAAGUUGGGAAGAUUAGAAUAAAGAGCAACUAAAUAAUUACAGCUCUUAAAACAGGAUUGCAAAAGAUAAAUUCAUAUGGUUUGCUUGGGUUGGCAAACUGCAGACAGCAGGCUCAUCCAGGCCAUAGCCUGUUUCUGCACAGGCCACGAACUCAGAAUGGUCUUACAAGCUCAAAGGGCUGUAAAUAGAAAAAGAAAGGCAAAGAGGAGGAGGAGGAAGAACAAGAACAGGAAGGAGGAUACAGCAGAGACUUUGUGUUUUGUGUAAAGCCUAAACGAUUCACUACUUGGCCUUAACAGAAAAAAUUUGCUGACCCUGGUCUAGAGGGUGGAAAGACCGGGCUGACAGGAGAAAUGUGGUCUGUGGAAUACCAAGACUUGCUAUGAAGUAAGCCACAAGGUUAUCCCCAGGUGGAGGUGGGCUGGGGCAGCUCAGGCCUGAGUAUGUAUGCAUAUGACAUGUAGUGCCUGCAUGCCUGGUCCCCACGUGGUGGGCUCCAUGAGGCCACACAGGGUGCCCUGCCCAAAGAGACAGUGCUUUCAUUCCUACUUUUGGUGGGCAGACAUCAUAUUUGUAAUGGGAAAUGGUGGCAGGACAAGGACCAGGUGAUCCACUUGCCAUCUCAGAAGAAUUCCGUGAAGGCAUCAGACCAGCUUAGCUUAUUGAUGAAGACAACUGGAAGAGAAAGAUUUAAUCAUGACAUAGGUAAAUAUGGAAGAUUCAGGAACUCUUUUAUCUUCUCUUUGCUUUUUCAAGAAUAGAAUGAGCUUUUACACCCUGACAGUGUACUGAGUCUGUGAGUGCAAAGUCCUCCCCAGAAAAAUGUGAUUUGCAUUUAUGCUUUCACCAUUUGGUGAGAGCAGAUUUCCCAUCAUCUGCCAUUACAAACAGUUCUCCGCAGCUCAUCACCAGGUCACAAACACAUCCGCAAAGACUGUCUGAAAGUUUGUGCCAUUUGCUAGUAGUAUUAACUUUCCAGGGGUCCACACUGACACCCUCGCGAGGAAGAGGGCUUCACCUACUUCUGCCCCAGAGGUGAAACCCGCGCAGGAGAAACGAGGUCUGUUUGGGCAUUUUUCUUGGAAAUGUGUUUCUGAUAUCUGAAAACACAGCCAAAUUGGUUCCAAGAAUGUAAACGAAUGUGCCUUAUGUGCUAUUAUAGGUACAUAUAUAAAACGGCAAUAUCAAAUUCUGUUUUCAAAAGGUAAUAACUUCAGUAGAAAAAUCAGUUUGUCUCUCAAGCAAUUCUAUGAAAAUAGUUGUAAAUCUCAGUGGAACUGUUGGCUGCUUAAAUAAUUAUUGUUUGCAGAGAAGAAUUUCUGGCACACCUUUACAACCAUUUAAGUACCAGCAGCAUUAAAUCUCAAUUCCAUAUAAAUUAAAUGGUGGUUUACAGUAUAUUCUGGUUUUAAAAUAAGGCAAAUAUAAUGUUAACUGUCUUUAAAGUCAGAAAAUGUGUAUUUUAUUUACAUUACCCAUAUUUUCAAACACUGUGAUAAUUUCAGAAUACACUCUGGAGAGGGAGGGCACCUGUGAAAAAUCUUUGUCCUUUCCACUCAGUUUUACUGUCAACCUGGCUCUUAAAAAAUAAAGUCUGUUAAAACAAAACAAAAAUGCAUCCAUGUUUGUUGUAACCUUCUAGAGAAUUCUAUACAUGAUGAGACCGUUGUGGUCAAGAAAUUCCUACAGUUUCUAAACGAGAUAUCAAAUUUACUCUAUUUUUUUUAAAUCACCCUGGAAUUGUUGAGUUACAGAAUUAGUUUCCCCUCUGGAAUAUUAAGAGAAUUGAUUUUAGUGGACAUCCCAUAUUUAUCGAUCAUUUGUGGCACUGCAGUGGCUGGGCAGCAGGAGGAACAUGGGAGUCCACGGCCCUGCACUCGGGGCCUCAGCAAGAAAAGAGUCAGAGGCCAUCAAGUGUCACUGGCUCAGAGAACCCAUGAGGGGCUCUGGGAUGCAGAAUAGGAGUUGGCGGCUGAGCUAGGCCUGCAGGAUGGGGUGAGCUUGAUGCAGGGGCAUUGGGGAAAGCCUGGCCUGGGGUGCUCCCGGGGUCCGGACUCACCACUCCCCAGCCUCCAGUGGACUCUGCUGCACAAAGCACCAGGCUGCCUUUUUUCCUUCUUUUAUUUUCUCUUUUGACCACUUUAGAGAGCUAGAUAGUACACUCAUCUGCCCUUGUAGAGGCCAACGUCUUUUCCCUAAAUUUGUCCUGUUUCUGACUUAGAAGUAAGGAAUCCAUUGGGGCACCCCUGAGGAGCGGGCAUUUGCAGGGUGCCUGGAGUGCACAAUUUCCCCACCAUUCUCUCUGCCUGGGUCUUUCCCCUGCAAGGUCCCAACCCUGUCCAACUUGGGUCCCAUAUCUGCUGGAGGAUGGAGGUGAUGUGCGCCUUCUAGUUGGGAUUGAGUCCUAAUUGCUCUAAGUCAGCUGUGGCCACGCUGUUGAGGCAGUGAGUCCAGUGUGGGCCUGUGGCUCGGCCCUGGCCUCGGAGCAGAUGAGAUGUCUGCUGGGGGCACCUGGGGAAGGGUUUUCUUUAAAAUGCAAAGAGGUUCAGGAGCAGCGAACCUCCCUCUUGCUCCUCGGGUCUGCAUGUGGGCGGGAGUGAGUGUGGAGCUGGCAGUGCCUGCUCCCUGUUGCCACUGUGGAAGGAAAUCCAAAGGAAUUUCAGAAAAGCUGACCUGGGGCUCUGACAUUUUUUAGCUUCUGAGAUAACCAAUCCUGGAACUACUCAAUCCCAACAGGUCUUACAAGAAACAUGGAAUUCCAGCAAUUUAAACCACUUUUUAUUGGGUAUUCUGCUGACUCCAACUCAGAAAACCCCACCAGCACAGGGCCUGGGCAAGGGAGAGCAUGCUCCAUAUGGUGGAAAGGGGGUGACCAGAGGGCAUGGUGUUUCAUUUGCUCUAAAGACAAUAAGGGGUCCCUUAUCCCACAGAGCAAGUGUGACCACCACAUAAAAGAGAGAAUUGUUAGUCAUUGCUGAAGACCAAAAGGAAUCCAUUUUUUGCUUUGUUUUCUUUAUUUCUAUUUACAGUCUUUUGACUGGACCAUGCAGCAGCACAAUCAAUCAAUAGACGAAGUAUGUGAAAGUUUAGCAUGCAUGUGGAGCUGGCUCCGCAUUGGAGAAGACGGCAGCAGGGAUCAGCGGAGCUGUUCUCUUUGCGCUUCUGUGGUUAGGUCUGGUGCUAGUGUUGUCCCGUAAAGCGCAGCCGCAGUAAGGGCUGACCUUCAGUUCUGGUCCCUGAUCUGGGUUCUUACUGAUCCAGUAAUAGCCGAGAAGAGCGUGUGGAAUCAAACUUGGAAUUAGGUCAUGAAGUUUCAUGAUGCUGACAGGCAUUUUACCUUUUGGUACUGUCAGGUUUCGCUGAAACAUGUUUGGAUCAACAGAUUGCAAAUUAGGAACUGGCAGCCGUUCUGACAAUCGCUGACAACGUUUUUAAAGAAUAUUGAAAAUGGAAUCAUUAAACACUCUGAAAUUAAUGUUCCCAUAGCAAUGUUAAUGCGGCCACCUUGUGCCAGUGCAAUUACUCAUUGAUUGCUAUUGUUUACAUCUAAAUUUAAAGUGCAUAUCUAGACCUAAUGACAUGGUUGCAGUUAGUAUUUUGAGGAAUACCUCCAUAUCAAAGUUUCUUUUCCUGGUGGAUUCAUAACACUUUAGACUCAGACUUUGGUUGUUUGAGAAGCAUAACCAAAAAUAAGAAGUAAAAGCACUAAUAAUCAAAAUGUCAAAGUUGAUCCCAUGUUCAAACCCCGUAGUUGAAGAAUCCUGAGUGAUGUGUCAGAAAAAGCAGGGAAUUAGAAAAGCCUUAAGGUGUGCACAUACGUGGCCAUGAUUUUGUAGCAAUUCUCUUGGCUCUUUGGAAAGCAAAAGCAGAGGACCCCAGAUCAAGGUCAAAUGACAGAGCCUUGUGUGGUUCUGAUUUUGUGUUCAAUGUCUAGGGGUGCUCACUGGCUCUACUGGGUCUUUGCUGGCUCUUCUGGUCACUAGAAACAGACAGCAUGGAAGGCAGUGAUGCAGAGACCCAGCUCCGCUCCUGGCUGGGGAGGAGCCUACACCCUUCCCCUGACCUGCUGCGUUACUGCCUCUCUGGUGUAGAGAGACUAUGGGCUGCAUUGUGGCAGGUGACAGCAGGUGCAACAGCCUCCCCCUCCACACACUGUGUAGCCCUCCGUGAUCUGUAACGGUUCAUUAUAUCAUUCGUGUGAACUAUGUGGUCUGUAUCAGGUUUUAAGAUUUUAUUUUAUUUUUUGGUCUUAUGUUCAAAUCACUUCUGUUCAGUUUUUAAAAAAUCAUUACAAUUUGAGGAAAGGGACUCUGUCACCUUGUCCCCCAGCACCAGCCUUGAACUUGUCCAAUCUGAUAUUUGGACAGGGCCAGUGAGCCACGUUAUCACACUUCUGGUUGUACACAAGCAGUUGGGUGACACAUUUUCCAUUCAUAAAAGAAAAUUGGUUUGGAUACACUCUAAUUGCACAUUUGCAAGUUAGAGCUCCAUGCAUGCUAUUUGUUGAAAGCCCCCUUUGGGUUAAUUACAAAGUGCCUAAAUGCUAUUUGAUGAUUUUGGAAGCAAAAUAUGCGUGGGACAGUGUUUCUGUGCCUUGAAACCCACUGAGUAGUAUCCCACCUUGUACAUUUCACUUUUGCUAUAGAAACAUCCUGUACCAUACCUGUCACUCAAACAGACCAGUUGUGAGAGGAAUUGGGAGAGAAUAUGGGGCCGGAAUCCCCUUUCCAAUGUUAAGUUUCUGAUCUUAAAUGUACUUUAAUACACCCCACACUUCUGUCACUAUCUCUUCCACAUAUCAUGUGUGACAUCUUCAUUUAUGAGAUGGCAAAGUGACUGGAACAUUGACAGAAGGAAACUGAAAUGGGCGAAUCUUCCUGCAUUUUAGCAAUCACUCGGUUUUGGAAAGGAAGACUGCCCCAGGAUGGUUCACAAAUCUCAUCCACUCUUGCCAGAGUGACCCAUUCUGAGUUGGUGACAACAUCCCUGGACACUUCCGUUGGUCCCUCCCCUUCACAGCUUUGUACAGCUGCGGCAUGCCCCCCCAAGUGGUUGUGCCUUUGUUUUGGUGUCUGUUCUGCAGCUAGGAAAACUCUCCAAGGGAUAAUGUGAGGAGCAACUUGGCUGGUAUCCAUAAACCUUGUGAAGAUGAACGAUGUCAUCACAGGCGAGCCCCUGAAUUAUGUUUAUGAAAUGUGCUCACAACACCCAAUGAACUACACUUUGGUACAUUAACCCUAUACGUCUUGGAUGGUGACUUUAAGAUGUGGGUGUACCCAGGGGGAAAUGUCUGCGUGUCUUCUAAGUUAGUUUAGCUCAUUGGUGACAUCAUAAGAUCACCAUCACCUAGGCAAUGGAGCGUGUUGCUAUGGGAACAGCAAAGCUGUAUGAUAACACAGCUUCAAAAUGUUGACAGUUGGAAAUGCUCCCUUUUUUCUGUACUGCAAGCCAAAGGAGAUGUAUAUGUAGGGGGUGGGUGUUUUGAUUAAAAUAUUAGUAUUUAAAGUUUGUUAAUAUAAACUGUUUGGAGACGAAUGAUUUGUGACACUUAAGAUAUUUAGAAUACGGAAAUUUUUGGAAAAACAUGACCCUUUAGCUGCUUUAAAGAAACCUUUAUGUCCUGGAACUUGUGCAGGCCUCAUGAAGUCAGAGUUGUCAUGAGAAAGAUACAAAAUCUCUUUGCAAAACUGCAGGAAGCAUAGAUAUGCUGGAUGGCAGGGCUCCCACCUGUGUGACCUUGACUUCAAGGCACCGAUGACUGGUUUAUGCACGUCCUUGCUGUGGUUCUUUUGGCCGUCACCGCCCGUCUCCUGAGAACUUCUGGUGCCAC